ACGAACGCUGGCGGCGUGCUUAACACAUGCCAGUCGAACGGAAAGGCCCCUUUGGGGGUACUCGAGUGGCGAACGGGUGAGUAACACGUGAGUAACCUGCCCUUGACUUCGGGAUAACUUCAGGAAACUGGGGCUAAUACCGGAUAGGAAUCCUUGCUGCAUGGUGGGGGUUGGAAAGCUUCGGCGGUUUUGGAUGGACUCGCGGCUUAUCAGCUUGUUGGUGGGGUAGUGGCUUACCAAGGCUUUGACGGGUAGCCGGCCUGGGAGGGCGACCGGCCACAUUGGGACUGAGAUACGGCCCAGACUCCUACGGGAGGCAGCAGGGGGGAAUAUUGCACAAUGGGCGGAAGCCUGAUGCAGCAACGCCGCGUGCGGGAUGACGGCCUUCGGGUUGUAAACCGCUUUCAGCAGGGGCGAAGCUUGUGGUGACGGUACCUGCAGAAGAAGCACCGGCUAACUACGUG
rnacentral:rRNA from 1 species